GUCCCUGUAGUGCAAUGGAUAGCGCGUUGGACUUCUAAUCCAAAGAUCGUGGGUUCGAAAUCCACCUGGGAUG
rnacentral:tRNA from 1 species